rnacentral:piRNA from 1 species
UGCAAAGUUUAAAUAAAUUAA